rnacentral:rRNA from 1 species
GACGAACGCUGGCGGCGUGCUUAACACAUGCAAGUCGAACGGAAAGGCCCUGCUUUUGUGGGGUGCUCGAGUGGCGAACGGGUGAGUAACACGUGAGUAACCUGCCCUUGACUUGGGAUAACUUCAGGAAACUGGGGCUAAUACCGGAUAGGAGCUCCUGCUGCAGGGUGGGGGUUGGAAAGUUUCGGCGGUUGGGGAUGGACUCGCGGCUUAUCAGCUUGUUGGUGGGGUAGUGGCUUACCAAGGCUUUGACGGGUAGCCGGCCUGGGAGGGUGACCGGCCACAUUGGGACUGAGAUACGGACCAGACUCCUACGGGAGGCAGAAGUGGGGAAUAUUGCACAAUGGGCGGAAGCCUGAUGCAGCAACGCCGCGUGCGGGAUGACGGCCUUCGGGUUGUAAACCGCUUUCGCCUGUGACGAAGCGUGAGUGACGGUAAUGGGUAAAGAAGCACCGGCUAACUACGUG